rnacentral:rRNA from 1 species
CACGUAGGGUGCGAGCGUUGUCCGGAAUUAUUGGGCGUAAAGAGCUCGUAGGCGGUGUGUCGCGUCGGCCGUGAAAACUUGCAGCUUAACUGUGGGCUUGCGGUCGAUACGGGCAUCACUGGAGUUCGGCAGGGGAGACUGGAAUUCCUGGUGUAGCGGUGAAAUGCGCAGAUAUCAGGAGGAACACCGGUGGCGAAGGCGGGUCUCUGGGCCGAUACUGACGCUGGAGGAGC